rnacentral:rRNA from 1 species
AUUGAACGCUGGCGGCAGGCUUAACACAUGCAAGUCGAGCGGGGUGAGGUACUUCGGUACUGAUCCUAGCGGCGGACGGGUGAGUAAUGCUUAGGAAUCUGCCAUUUAGUGGGGGACAACAUUCCGAAAGGAAUGCUAAUACCGCAUACGUCCUACGGGAGAAAGCAGGGGAUCUUCGGACCUUGCGCUAAAUGAUGAGCCUAAGUCGGAUUAGCUAGUUGGUGGGGUAAAGGCCUACCAAGGCGACGAUCUGUAGCGGGUCUGAGAGGAUGAUCCGCCACACUGGGACUGAGACACGGCCCAGACUCCUACGGGAGGCAGCAGUGGGGAAUAUUGUACAAUGGGCGGAAGCCUGAUCCAGCCAUGCCGCGUGUGUGAAGAAGGCCUUUUGGUUGUAAAGCACUUUAAGCGAGGAGGAGGCUACCUGGAUUAAUACUCUGGGAUAGUGGACGUUACUCGCAGAAUAAGCACCGGCUAACUCUGUGCCAGCCGCCGCCGCGG